GUCUGUUUGGAGUUAUAAGGAGUCUGACCUGCCCACUGAUAAAAAUUUAUUUAAGGGCCGCAGUAUCUUAACUGUGCAAAGGUAGCAUAAUCAUUAGUCUUUUAAUUGGAGGCUUGUAUGAAUGGUUGGACAAAAGAUAUAUUGUUUUCUAGGGUAAAAUUGAAUUUAACUUUUAAGUGAGAAGGCUUAAAUUUACUAAAAAGACGAUAAGACCCUAUAAAGCUUUAUAUAGGAAGGUAAUUUAUUUAAAUUAGGUAAUAAAAGGUAAGUUGAAUUACUAUAUUGUAUUGGGGCGAUAUAGGUAAAAUUGUAGAUAACUGCUUUGAGAGUUUACAAUUAUAUUUGAAGUAUAAAAUGAUCCUUAUUAAAGAUUAUAAGAUUAAGUUACUUUAGGGAUAACAGCGUAAUUUUUCUUGAGAGUUCUUAUCGAGAGAAAAGAUUGCGACCUCGAUGUUGAAUUAAAAUUUCUUUAUUGUGCAGAAGUAAUAGGAGAAGGUCUGUUCGACCUUUAAAAUUUU
rnacentral:rRNA from 1 species